rnacentral:rRNA from 1 species
UACGAGCCUCACAAACGUUAUUCGGAAUUAUUGGGCGUAAAGCGUCCGUAGGCGGUUUCAAAAGUCUGUUGUUAAAGCCCACAGCUCAACUGUGUAUCGGCAAUGGAAACUGUGAGACUAGAGAGUGGUAGGGGUAGAGGGAAUUCCUAGUGUAGCGGUGAAAUGCGUAGAUAUUAGGAAGAACACCAGUGGCGAAGGCGCUCUACUGGGCCAUUACUGACGCUGAUGGACGAAAGCUAGGGGAGCGAAAGGG